UGCAUUUGUUAAUAAAACGAAAACAUGCAUGUUUUAAUGCUAGAGAAUAAAUGGAAACGAUCCACCCACAUGCCUCUGCUCAGCGAUGGUGCCUGGAUCAGUGAGCUGCGUCUCGGGCCGAUGACGUCACUUCCAGGGAGGCAUGCCCAGGCCUGUUGUACACGCCCCCGUCCCUUGACUCCACCCCCAUGUCAAAACAGUGCCACAAAGCAAGACGCGCAGAAACGUGAAGCGCAAAGGGAAAACGUAUCCAGCUGGAG